rnacentral:lncRNA from 1 species
UGUUUCCGAAACGAUUUCGUGUUUUUCAAAGGUGUCUCAUUGUCAAUUAUACAAUAUUACAUUUAAAAAAAAAGAACGAAUCUAAAAAUCAGACCAAGGAAUAAAUUAACCCUAUAAGCACGAUAUGAUAGAAAUGAACAAAAGAAAAAAAAAACAAGAAAGUGAAUUUGUUAUCAUAUCUAUAAAACAACAUUGAAAGUCAUGAUAAGAUAUGAACGAAAUUCUGAUAUAGCUGUUCUGCUAAUGCACAAAGCUGGUUUAAGGCUUCAAUACUACACUGAUAAAUUCGUGACAAAAACGUUUAUCCAAUGUAUAUGUCCAUAUUGGAUUGAAACAGCACGUCUUCAUUUAAACAAAUAAAAAAAAAAAAAAAAAAAAAACCAACUAAAAAAAACCCCAAUAAAGUAGUGUCUAAAGAAUCUCGAAUGUGUUUUAUUGUAUAAGAUUCAAAGUUUUCCAUUCGAAAGACACGAUAUUGUCAAUAUACAGAAAGAGCUAUUCUUUGAUUUAUGACUUUACCUAUAGAAAUCCAACCAGGAAAAACACAUAACUCUAUCAUAAUCGCGCAACUAACGACAAACAAACAAAACAUACAAUUAGCCAAGG